ACGGGAGGCAGCAGUAGGGAAUAUUGCACAAUGGGGGGAACCCUGAUGCAGCAACGCCACGUGUGGGAAGUAGCAUUUCGGUGUGUAAACCACUGUCGUGAGGGAAUAGUGCUUGGCUCCGGCCAAGCUGAAUGUACCUCGAAAGGAAGCACCGGCAAACUUCGUGCCAGCAGCCGCGGUAAUACGAGGGGUGCAAGCGUUGUUCGGAAUCACUGGGCGUAAAGGGAGCGUAGGCGGAGACGCAAGCAGUCUGUACAAUACCGGGGCCCAACCCCGGACCUGCAGACUGGACUGUGUCUCUUGGAUAGUUCAGGGGCAGGCGGAAUUCCUGGUGUAGCGGUGGAAUGCGUAGAGAUCAGGAAGAACACCGAUGGCGAAGGCAGCCUGCUGGGGACUCAUCGACGCUGAGGCUCGAAAGUGCGGGUAGCAAACAGGAUUAGAUACCCUGGUA
rnacentral:rRNA from 1 species